UCAAUUUCCCUCCCCAAAAAUCAAAUGUUCAGUUUCACAAAGCCAGUUUCAUCUAUUUCUUUGACCAUCUCUCUAAUGUCGGUUCUCUACAGUGACAAAUUGUUUUCAUCAAGAUUCAAUUGCCGUCAAUCCAAUAACACACACCUUCAUCAUCCAAGGCUUUUUCUACUGCACCAACUAUCGAUUCAGAGAGGACCUGAUAUUAAAAGAGACGACGUAUGUUGACGAAGGUAUUCCUUUUAGUUUCUUUGGGGUGCUCUUUAUACAUGGAUCACCAGCAUAGAACCCACAAA